UUGUGGGGAGAGACAGCAACAGCAUCAUCUCCAGCAUCAACGACAGAAUACCAUUACAUCACUUUGCCGAGAUCUGAUUGGAUAAGGGCGCUGUUUUACAAACCAGCAAGCCAUCGUCUUACAUUCUCGAGGUUGAUUUUGGAAAAAGAUUCCCCCAAUUAACAAUAUAUUGAACACUUUCGAUUGACAAAAACUACACAAUGGCCGAGAGCGAACCAGAGACGCCCAGCACUCCGAUAGAGUUUGAGAGCAAAUACUUCGAAUAUAACGGAGUAAGGCUGCCUCCCUUCUGCCGAGGGAAGAUGGAGGAAAUUUCCAACUUCUCGCUUAGAAGUAGUGACAUAUGGAUAGUCACCUAUCCCAAGUCAGGGACCAGUCUGUUGCAGGAGCUGGUGUAUCUGGUGAGUCAGGGGGCAGACCUGGAUGAGAUUGGGCUGAUGAACAUCGACGAGCAGCUGCCAGUUCUGGAGUAUCCCCAACCGGGCCUGGACAUCAUCCAGGAGCUGACGUCACCGCGCCUGAUAAAGAGUCACCUGCCCUACCGCUUCCUCCCUUCCGCCAUGCACAAUGGAGAGGGCAAGGUGAUCUACAUGGCCAGGAACCCCAAAGACCUGGUGGUGUCCUACUACCAGUUCCACCGCUCCCUCAGGACCAUGAGCUACAGGGGCACCUUCCAGGAGUUCUGCCGCAGGUUCAUGAAUGAAAAACUGGGGUAUGGCUCCUGGUUCGAGCAUGUUCAGGAAUUCUGGGAACAUCGCAUGGACUCCAAUGUUCUCUUCUUGAAAUACGAAGACAUGUUUAAGGACCUGGACACGCUGGUGGGACGUCUGGCGCGCUUCCUGGGCGUGGCCUGUGAUAAGGUGCAGCAGGAGAGCCUGGUGGAGAGCUGUCACCAGCUGAUCGAGCAGUGCUGUGGCUCCGAUGCUCUGUCUGCCUGCAGGGUGCACUGACUCAUGACCACACUGGUGCUGGUGCAGUGAGCACUCUCAGUAGGAACUUUAAUGCAGGUCCCAUAGUUUCUCAGGAAGGGCGUGUGGGGCUGUGGAAAGACAUCUUCACUGUUUCCAUGAACGACAAGUUUGAUGCAGUGUACCAGGAAAAAAUGGGAGAGUCUGAUCUUAGCUUUGACUUUGGUCUUUAAAGACCCUGACCCUAACCCUGCAGACUCUGCCCCUUAUCCUGCAGACUCCACCCCAACCCUGCAAACUCCACCCCUUACCCUGCGGACCCCACCCCUUACCUUGCAAGCUCCUCCCCAACCUUGCAGACUCCACCCCUAAUCCUACAGACUCCACCCCAACUCUUCCCAGUAUGAGUCCCUCCCAUCCCUGGCUCCAGUCCCACACCACAGAUUUUAAAAUCCCACCAGAUACUCAGCUCUGUGUUCCUAACAUUUGUAAAGCUGAACAUCCUGACAUGCUGUCGUUGAACCAAUUUUAGGCAUCUUUUACAAUUCAUUAACAGGUGUGUCCUGGUUGAGUACUAUGGGCCGGGAUGAGAUCGGAAAGGGCAUGACAUCACCUGCCGGCCAGGAGCCCCUCAUCGAGCAUGCCCAAUGACAGCACUAGAAACCCCUGUUAUCAACCAGAAUCUACUGUAGGUCAGAAGCAGUGAGGACGGAACACAGUAGCUGAGUAUCUGGUGUGUCUAUUGAAUCUGUGCCUGUACAAUGAGGCUUCAAUCAUGGUGACACAGAUCUCUCUGGAUGGUGGAUAUCGCUCUUAUUGCUUGAUGGAUUACUAUUAUCCUUGCUUUGUAUGUACGUACAGUGUGUACACUACAGUAUUUUGUGUAAAGCCACCUCCCAUGACUCUGAAUGAGUAUUUGAGGUUGAUGUUCCAUGUGAUGUACAGAUCUAGCACACACAGAUUCUCAGAGAAAAUGUUGCAGCAACGUCAGGCAAACCUUAUGAGAACAUAACGUGCCAGUAGAGGAUAAACUGCUCAGGGUUGGUCAGUUCUGCACAGGAAGGUCUGGUCUGCUUUUUCCUACCACGACCAGCUACUGACCACACAUAGUUACUGCUACUGACAGAUUUACAUGGCCCUGUACCACCUUUCCUCAGGUAUGCUCACCUGUACCUUCAAAUUAACAGGAGCAUUCACUUUUAGCGAGUUAGAGAUUUAAUAACAGUUCUAAAGUUUUAAUACACCUUUUCAGGGAAAAAUCCCAUAUAUAGCCCCCCAUUGCUUCAGCCAUUCCUGGUGAUGUUGAAUGCACUGUCUGUGCAUGCUUUAGACAUUGUGGCUCUAGAAUUUUACAGACAUUCAGUAUCACUGCGUCUGCUUAAACUUCGCCUUUUAUCGCUGUCUGUGCUUAUCGGACCAUUUUUUAAAUCAGUCCUACUGACAACCACCCCCCCCCCCCCAUCUUUCUAUGCAUAACCCCCACUAGCGUGGGGAAUGCCAGGUGAUUCUCACGUCAUACUGCCGAGGGGCAUUUAUACAGAACAUACAGUGUUCAUUUUGGCGAAGCUUCUGUUGUACUUAUGGGUUUUGUGUAAAAAAAAAAAUGCAAGUGAAUUGCCCAUGCAUAUACGUAAACAUGAGCAGAUUGGUGUAACAUUCUGAAACAUAUCAGAGCUCGAUGUGUACCCCUGCUGUCUCUUCUACAAGAACACUGGAGUUUAAGUCCUAUUUUUAUAUUGUCCUUGGUUCAUUAAACAGAUUAUUUUGCUUGCUGAUUUUCAAAUAAAGAUGUUUCCUCAGCACUGGUG